CUAAUACCGCAUAAGCCCACGACCCGGCAUCGGGUAGAGGGAAAAGGAGCAAUCCGCUUUGAGAUGGCCUCGCGUCCGAUUAGCUAGUUGGUGAGGUAACGGCCCACCAAGGCGACGAUCGGUAGCCGGACUGAGAGGUUGAACGGCCACAUUGGGACUGAGACACGGCCCAGACUCCUACGGGAGGCAGCAGUGGGGAAUAUUGCACAAUGGGGGAAACCCUGAUGCAGCGACGCCGCGUGGAGGAAGAAGGUCUUCGGAUUGUAAACUCCUGUUGUUGAGGGAGAUAAUGACGGUACUCAACAAGGAAGUGACGGCUAACUACGCGCCAGCAGCCGCGGUAAAACGUAGGUCACAAGCGUUGUCCGGAAUUACUGGGUGUAAAGGGAGCGCAGGCGGGAAGACAAGUUGGAAGUGAAGUCCAUGGGCUCAACCCAUGAACUGCUUUCAAAACUGUUUUUCUUGAGUAGUGCAGAGGUAGGCGGAAUUCCCGGUGUAGCGGUGGAAUGCGUAGAUAUCGGGAGGAACACCAGUGGCGAAGGCGGCCUACUGGGCACCAACUGACGCUGAGGCUCGAAAGUGUGGGUAGCAAACAGGAUUAGAUACCCUGGUAGUCCACACUGUAAAC
rnacentral:rRNA from 1 species